rnacentral:rRNA from 1 species
AGAAUCAACGCUGGCGGCGUGCCUAACACAUGCAAGUCGCACGAGAAAGAGGGGGCAACCCCUUGAGUAAAGUGGCGUACGGGUGAGUAACACGUGACUAACCUACCUCCGAAUGGGGAAUAACCUCGGGAAACCGGGGCUAAUACCGCAUAACAUCUACGGAUCAAAGCAGCAAUGCGUUUGGAGAGGGGGUCGCGGCUGAUUAGCUAGUUGGUAGGGUAAUGGCCUACCAAGGCGACGAUCAGUAUCCGGCCUGAGAGGGCGCACGGACACACUGGAACUGAAACACGGUCCAGACUCCUACGGGAGGCAGCAGUGGGGAAUUUGCGCAAUGGGGGAAACCCUGACGCAGCAACGCCGCGUGGAGGAUGAAGGUCUUUGGAUUGUAAACUCCUUUCGAUCGGGACAUUAUGACGGUACCGGAAGAAGAAGCACCGGCUAACUCUGCGCCAGCAGCCGC